UCUAUAAGUCUUGCUUUUAUAAGUUCUUGCUUUCCAAGAUGAGCAGUUUUCUGGCAAAGUUGGUUUCAGCUGUUGUAACGGUAUAUCUUCUUCUUGGUGUUUUUCCUGCAACUUCUUCAUCAGUAGUACUUCUUCAUGGUGCUGAGAAGGGUACUUUAUUGAGUGUUGACUGAAGAGGUGGCUUGAGAAAGAUAAUUUGGAGAAAAGAAGGUAGCUUUGGAUGUCUAAGCAAGAUUGUUAGCAA